rnacentral:rRNA from 1 species
AGAGUUUGAUCCUGGCUCAGGACGAACGCUGGCGGCGUGCCUAAUACAUGCAAGUCGAACGCAUUUUCUUUCACCGUAGCUUGCUACACCGAAAGAAAAUGAGUGGCGAACGGGUGAGUAACACGUGGGUAACCUGCCCAUCAGCGGGGGAUAACACUUGGAAACAGGUGCUAAUACCGCAUAAUUCCAUUUACCGCAUGGUAGAUGGGUGAAAGGCGCUUUUGCGUCACUGAUGGAUGGACCCGCGGCGCAUUAGCUAGUUGGUGGGGUAACGGCCUACCAAGGCUGCGAUGCAUAGCCGACCUGAGAGGGUGAUCGGCCACACUGGGACUGAGACACGGCCCAGACUCCUACGGGAGGCAGCAGUAGGGAAUCUUCGGCAAUGGACGCAAGUCUGACCGAGCAACGCCGCGUGAGUGAAGAAGGUUUUCGGAUCGUAAAACUCUGUUGUUAGAGAAGAACAAGGAUGAGAGUGGAAAGUUCAUCCCUUGACGGUAUCUAACCAGAA